rnacentral:rRNA from 1 species
UACGGGGGGGUAAGCGUUGUUCGGAAUUACUGGGCGUAAAGGGCUCGUAGGCGGCCAACUAAGUCAUACGUGAAAUCCCUCAGCUUAACUGGGGAACUGCGUGUGAUACUGGAUGGCUUGGAUUUGGGAGAGGGAUGCGGAAUUCCAGGUGUAGCGGUGAAAUGCGUAGAUAUCAGGAGGAACACCAAUGGCGAAGGCAGCUCGCUGGGACGGUACUGACGCUGAGGCGCGAAAGCGUGGGGAGCAAACAGG